UCUGCGUAUUUCGAACAUCGAAUACAUUGCGAUUAGCGCUCUAGUAUUCUUAUUAUAUCUCUAUUGAAGUUACACACAACUAAAGUGACCUGCCAGGUCCAAGGUCAAAACUGUAGUCUAGGUGCCUUCAAAAAAUUUGAACCAAAAAUUUGUUUAUGGAAUUUACUAAUUUUCCAUAUGCCUGAGAUGAUAAAAAGAAACGUUCCUGCGAGACUUCAACCGUUCCAUCGUCGAAAGUGAUCGGAAACUGACAUUUUGUCUGCUGACUUGUUUGAAAUCAGUAAUUACGUCUUAUUAGGCAACCAUGAGAGGUUUGGUGCUUUUUGCAAUAGUGGUAAUGCUGGCUGAGGUGUAUUCUACUCACUAUCGUGGCGGUACUUUCUACUGGGAAAAACUUGGAGAAACCAAGAUCCGUGUUCACUGGCGUCUUGCCUUUCAACUGACCGAUGACUAUAAAGAGUACAAAUGUGAACAUAUCGGACAGAACAUGAAAGCCGAAUCUUUUUUGGACCUGAAUUGUUCUGAUUGCGCUUCCAACAAAACCAUCUUAACACCAUUAACAUUGAAAUGUAUGUCAAUUUCAAGAGAGUUUGGAUGGAGUCUCCUCGAUGGAUACGUAGAAUACCAAGCAGACCGCAACAGGUUUAC